GAUCAUUACUCUGGAGAAGUCUUACCAUGGAUUUAGGUAAGAUGCCGAAGGUGCAACACAGCUUAUAAACUGUGAAAUCUCUCAGGCAAAAGGGACAGAGAUGCGGNN
rnacentral:ncRNA from 2 species